AACGUAGGAGGCGAGCGUUAUCCGGAUUUACUGGGCGUAAAGGGCGUGCAGGCGGUUUUUUAAGUCUAGGGUGAAAGCUCCCGGCUCAACUGGGAGAGGUCCUUGGAUACUGGAGAACUUGAGGGAUGCAGAGGAAAGUGGAAUUCCCGGUGUAGUGGUGAUAUGCGUAGAUAUCGGGAGGAACACCAGUGGCGAAGGCGGCUUUCUGGGCAUUUCCUGACGCUGAGACGCGAAAGCGUGGGGAGCGAACCGG
rnacentral:rRNA from 1 species